rnacentral:rRNA from 1 species
UGGGGAAUUUUGGACAAUGGGGGAAACCCUGAUCCAGCCAUCCCGCGUGUGCGAUGAAGGCCUUCGGGUUGUAAAGCACUUUUGGCAGGAAAGAAACGUCAUGGGUUAAUACCCCGUGAAACUGACGGUACCUGCAGAAUAAGCACCGGCUAACUACGUGCCAGCAGCCGCGGUAAUACGUAGGGUGCAAGCGUUAAUCGGAAUUACUGGGCGUAAAGCGUGCGCAGGUGGUUCGGAAAGAAAGAUGUGAAAUCCCAGAGCUCAACUUUGGAACUGCAUUUUUAACUACCGGGCUAGAGUGUGUCAGAGGGAGGUGGAAUUCCGCGUGUAGCAGUGAAAUGCGUAGAUAUGCGGAGGAACACCGAUGGCGAAGGCAGCCUCCUGGGAUAACACUGACGCUCAUGCACGAAAGCGUGGGGAGCAAACAGG